AUAUAGAGGGGAAUAAGGACGGCAUCAUGUCCGGCAACAAGGAAUGGGCCACGCUCAGCCCAGAGGAGUUCACCCAGCUGCAGAAGUACAUUGACUACAGUAGCAAGAAGGUACAGGAUGUGCUGCAGGAAUUUUAUGGAGAGGGUACAUUGUCCCAACACCUGCAAGGAGAUUCAAUAGACUUUGAGGGCUUCAAGCUCUUCUUGAAAACCUACUUGGAGGCAGAGGAGAUCUCCGAUGAACUUUGCUGCCACCUCUUCAUGUCUUUUCAGACUACAGCAGGACAAGCCACAACAGAGCCAGCCAGUGGUUUUGUUUGCAUCAAUGAUGUUUCUUGUUACUUCUCACUGCUGGAAGGUGGACGACCAGAAGACAAGCUAGAAUUCACCUUUAAGCUCUAUGACAAGGAUGGGAAUGGCCUUCUUGACAGUUCAGAGGUGGAUCGCAUAAUCACACAGAUGAUGCGUGUAGCUGAAUAUUUGGAGUGGGAUGUCUCUGAGCUUAAACCGAUCCUGCAGGAGAUGAUGCGAGAGAUUGACUACGAUGGCAGUGGCACAGUGUCUCUGUCUGAGUGGCUCCGUGGUGGAGCUACCACUGUCCCUCUCCUGGUGCUGCUUGGGCUGGAGGCUACCAUGAAGGAUGAUGGGCAGCACCUCUGGCGCCUGAAGCACUUUAACCGCCCAGUUUACUGCAAUGUGUGUGAGACACUGCUGCUGGGGCUACGCAAGCAGGGGCUGCGCUGCACUUUCUGCAAGUACACAGUGCAUGAGCGUUGUGCCCGAAAGGCCCCGCCAAGCUGUAUUAGCACCUAUGCCAAGAGUCGCCGUGAUACCAGUGCACAAGCUCAUGUCUGGGUAAGAGGUGGUUGUGAUGGUAAUAAAUGUGACCGGUGUCAAAAGAAGAUCAAGAGUUUUCAGAGCUUGACAGGCAUGCACUGUGCCUGGUGCCAUCAGAAGAUCCAUGAUGAGUGUCUGCCUCUCAUGCCUACAGCCUGUGAUUGUGGGAUCCUCAGAGACCAUAUCCUGCCACCCUCAGCAAUCUAUCCUGUUGUGCUGGAGCGUCAGAACAGCCAAAAGAAUGGACUGUGUGGGACACCUUCAGAAGAGCCAGCUCAGCCGUUUACCACCCCUGAGGGGCAGGCAUUGCGGAUCAUCCCCGUGCCUGACACUCACCCCUUGCUUGUCUUUGUCAAUCCCAAGAGUGGUGGGAAACAGGGAGAGAGAGUGCUGCGUAAAUUUCAGUAUCUCCUCAAUCCACGGCAGGUCUACAACUUAUUGAAGGGUGGCCCUGGUCCUGGGCUGAAUUUUUUCCGAGAUGUACCAGAUUUCCGUAUCCUAGUUUGUGGUGGUGAUGGCACUGUGGGCUGGAUCUUGGAUGCCAUUGAUAAAGCCAACCUACCAAGUCGGCCCCCAGUGGCUGUGCUGCCUCUGGGAACUGGCAAUGAUCUGGCCCGCUGCCUUCGUUGGGGAGGAGGUUAUGAUGGUGAGAAUCUAGUGAAAAUACUGAAAGAUAUUGAGGCAAGCAGCGUGCUGCAAAUGGACCGCUGGUCAGUGCAGGUGAUGCCUGACAAUCCUGAUGAGAAAGGUGAUCCUGUUCCUUAUGAGAUUAUCAACAACUAUUUCUCCAUUGGUGUAGAUGCCUCCAUUGCCCACCGAUUCCAUGUCAUGAGGGAGAAAUAUCCAGAGAAGUUCAAUAGCAGGAUGAAGAACAAGCUCUGGUAUUUUGAAUUUGCCACCUCUGAGACUAUCUUUGCUACAUGCAAAAAGCUCAAGGAGUGUCUGUCUGUGGAGUGCUGCGGACAGCCCAUUGACCUCAGUGGAGCACUUUCUGGAGUAGCCAUGCUCAACAUUCCCAGCAUGCAUGGUGGCUCCAACCUCUGGGGUGAGACCAAAAGACCUUUGGGAGAGGCAGCAGCACGAAGCACAGCAGGUGGAGCAGCACAGCCCCAGGUCAUCACUGAUGCUGAAACCCUGAAAAACUGUGUACAAGAUCUGGGUGAUCGGCGGAUGGAGGUGGUAGGCCUGGAGGGUGUGAUUGAGAUGGGGCAAAUUUACACAGGACUGAAGAGUGCAGGCAAACGGCUCGCCAAGUGCUCAGAGAUCAUACUGCGAACCCUCAAGCAUCUCCCCAUGCAGAUUGAUGGAGAACCAUGGAUGCAAGCACCAUGCACGAUCAAGAUAACCCACAAGAACCAAGCCCCAAUGCUCAUUGCUCCACCUCCCCGAUCCUCCAGUUUUUUUGGCCUCAAGAAGGGACCACAAGAAGCUUAAAAGGGAGUUCUGUGCCUGUCCAGGAACGGCUGUCUCCACGAUGGUGCCACUCCGGGGCCUUUGUCGAAAUGCCCAGAUGUUCUGCACUUUGGGGGUGGACUGCUCCUCCACUACACACUCACAACAAGUUAGAAUGGGAGCAGUUUCUUGUUGCCUUGUACUUGACAAGGCCAAAAUCUGCUACCUGAAGUAACUGUAUCAUUCGCUCUAAUGGCAGAGUGAACCCUGGAAUAAAUCAGCAGGAGCACUAGGAGUGUAAUCCUUAUGGGCACUGAGCCAUUCUCUUUUUCAAACUCCCACCCUCACGUCCCUGGACUCACGGACAAUGUCCAGAUCAGUGGCGAAGGUCCCAUAACGGUAGAGCAGGCAGCCAGCUGGUGCCUGGCGUUUUACCACAAUCUGGACAACUUCGGUUGCAAUUGUUCCAGUUUCAGGCAUGACAGAUGCAGACAGAUUGAUGGUUGCUGUGUCUUCAGUGGCAUCUGGUGGAAAAUAAUUCUAGUUUUAAAGAGAAAUGCCCACUUCCCUCCACAUCAUCCUUUCCCAUUAUAUCUUCUCAAAAUAGACAGCUGCUGGCAAUGGAAGGACAAGGGUGCAUUGGCCUGCAUUAGGAGAUGAGGAAGCAAUGGAUGUCCUGGGGUUUGUAUCCUCAAGGUCAAAGUGGCUGCUUUGUCUGAGAGUGAGGAGCUACUAUCUUCUGACUGGGGAACUGGAUGGAGGCUGUGCAGAAAAACUUAGGCUGAGGUGGUGCCUGAGUUCACACAUGGUAGUCUGAAGCAGGGUACUGGUAGAGCAACAGCAGCAUGGGAGUUGUUGCCAAUGAUAGGUGGGUGCUGCUAAGGCAUCCAAAGGAAGAAGUGCCAUCCUCUCUUAACACAAGAUUUCAACCACACCUCAGCGAGGAGCUACAUCAGUCAUGGGCAACUUUAUAUAUUCACCCUUUUAACACAGCACAUUCAGCCAUCACACACAAGAGUCUAGGUGGCCUCCUGUCCCUGCCUUCACAGUCUCUUCUGAGCCCCGGAUGGGUGAAUAAACUACCUGCAAGCCCAUCCUUUAUGUGAGCAAAACAAGAACAGCAGAGCUUGCAAAGGUUACCCUCUUGGAUUACUACUGCCAGAAUACCCAUUAGCCAUACUGGUUGGGGAUUCUGGGAGGUGUAAUCCAAAAAAUUAAUGUUUCCACCCUUUGAAAAACAGCCAUGAUGUGCAAGCAUACACCAUACUGAAUCCAUGAGGGACAAGCACUCUACUAACCUACCUGCUGCUGGAGAGACAGGGAUGUCAGUCAGACUAGAGAGUGUUGUCAAUGCUCCAGGAAGCACAGCUGCAGAUGUUGCUGGAGACAAAACUAUGGGUGCCAGAGUGUCUGGGUCAUCCUCAAGUGCCACUGUAACUGAAGAUGCAGACUCUACAGUGCUUGGCAAAGAUGCAGAUACUGCAGUGGAUGCUAUUGCUGGUGCCAUGGUGCCUGGGAGAGAUGUGGGGAUGGCAGUAGUCACAGCUGAAGGGUCCUCAGUGCCUGCAGCCCCUUCAUCCAAAGUGGCAGACACAACAGUUGCAGGAUCUUCAGAUGCAACAGCUAAAUCUGCUUCUUCUGGCAAAGCACUGACUAUAGUGGCAGCUGCUGCUGCUGUUGCCAAAGAACCCGCUUCUUGGGUUGUAGAUACCGGUGGCUGUUCAGUUGGGAGUGCUGAAGUCACAAAGGUUAGUGCUGAAAAUGCAAAGGGGGUAAGGACAGAGGGAGAGAGAUGCAGAAAUGAAUAUUAUACAGGAAAAGUUCUAAGUCUGAAAGGCAGCUUAGACAAAGGCCAUAUACAGUACAACAGAUGCAAAACAGUUUUUGAUAAGAAACUAUUGUUUGAUGCUUCAUCCUUUAGUUAUGGUCUGGAAUUAAACUAUUGCAAUCCA